UACGGAGGAUCCAAGCGUUAUCCGGAAUCAUUGGGUUUAAAGGGUCCGUAGGCGGUUUGGUAAGUCAGUGGUGAAAGCCCAUCGCUCAACGGUGGAACGGCCAUUGAUACUGCCAGACUUGAAUUAUUAGGAAGUAACUAGAAUAUGUAGUGUAGCGGUGAAAUGCUUAGAGAUUACAUGGAAUACCAAUUGCGAAGGCAGGUUACUACUAUGGAUUGACGCUGAUGGACGAAAGCGUGGGUAGCGAACAGG
rnacentral:rRNA from 1 species